AUGGCGCGUACUCACGGGAAGCGACGACCGCGGAAGAGGCCAGACCGACAGACCGUCCCGAUGUCGCCGGGCCUUGUGUCAAUCCGCCCGACAACGCGUGGUGGGUUCAGUCCGUUCAACAUUACCGGAACCAGUUUAUAUCCACGUCUCGCCCCCAAACUCUCCCUCCGUGUCCCGGCGCGGGACCGUUCGGUCACCGGAGUCUUGCUGCCCGCCGUCUUCCGGAAACGAAAGGCACUCGGGAGGCCAGCUGUCGCCGACAAAUCGGGGACCCCUUCGGCAACAAUGUCCAGAGGAGACAAGAGACCAAAAGAAGGUUGUUUCCACUCUUCCUCUAUCUUUUCAGUGUAUGCAUGCUAUUUUUAUUUUUGAUCUUUGUGCUCGUCUCCUUUCAAGGUCACUGGGUGUUAACAUCCUGUUCCCUUGCCUUCGAAUCUGAAUGUGCUGCACACGAUGCAACAUGCAACUGUUACUGGCAGUCCAUUUUUUUCUCUCCAAUUAAGAGAUAGAUAUGAAGGAAAAGGAACCCAUCAGAGUCCUUGACUUCAAAUCAAAUAUGCACUUCCACUGCAGGCAUGUUCCGUGUGUCACUGUCUUACAUACAUAAUUAAUUCUGCUGGACAUUCAAACAAAUCCUCAUUAGGCAGCUACAUACAUUUUUUUCUCCUUUCUUUCUUUUUACUUUCACGAAUGAUGAUUGAUUGUGCGGGGCCAAAAGUUCGUCGGUGGUCCCUCGUCAACGGCGUCGGCUUCAGGCGCCGACUGCGCGGCUGAUUGGCUCACUUACCAAAUGCAGAACUGGCUCAUUUCGAUAUCCCGGCCGGACCAUUUCUCUGAUGAAAGUCUCGCCUUGACGAGGCAAGUCCGACAUCUGUCUGGGGACUUGUCUUGCGGAUUUUUCACUUCGUGCAGAAUACUGUACACAUCCUCCUUUUAAGAGUUGGGCUUCAUUCCAGUGAGAUUCAGUAACGCUGACUGAAUUAUUGACCUUAUAGAGGAACCCCAGAUAGUAUUUACACACUGUGACACUAGAACGCUCCAUUGGAACAAGAUAUGUUGUUUGUUAUGAUAAAACGUGUUUGCGUCGGUGUAUAGUCGAUUCCAUAUUUUCCAUUUUCCAUUCAGCAUCCUAAUGACAACCAUAUUUGUGUGUCCGCUUGCUGCGUCAUACGCUCACCAGGCGAUUUCCUAGGAACAACAGUUCAUUCCCGGAAUCAUCCAAUCAGCUAAUUGGCGUGGCGGCAGAAGUGCAGCGUAGAAAUGCAGAAACAGGUCAGGAGCUUCACGUCAAACAUCAGACCAGGGAAGAAAAGGGGGAUGUCAGUGAUUUCACUAUGGUUCAACAGUUGGUAGUUUCAGUAUUUAUAAGACAACCGAUCUCUCUGGACGUCGUCUGGCAACUGGAGAGACCAGGUUGAUGAACCUGGAGGCACUGGCAGAAGAAUGAUCAGCUGGGUUCAGAUAAUCAUGUGGCAAGUGGAGGAAAAGAGCUAGGGGGGCGUCUUUACCGCAUCAGCAGACCCAUCUACCGGCCGAUGCCCGGAGGGAAAGAUCGUUCCGCGGCGGCGCCGCCGGCGCAGCGGCUCGGGAAGUUGACGAGGUGAUAAGUUGAUCAGGCGCCCAGGUGAAUUGGCGGGAGCGGGUCGCCGAUGGCCACGCAGACAAGGAUGAAAUGAGGGAUGGAGGCAGCCUAACCACAACUGGGAGGGCGAGAGAAAGAUCCUGACAGAGUAUUGGACCGAGGCAGCGAGAGUAUGAGUCCGAAUGACAUCACGCUGCAGCGCGGCCAACACGUCUCCAGUGUGGGUGGCAAUGUGACAUGUUGGUUUAGUUUCUCUUGGUGGAUUUAGUUUUUCUUUUCUGUACAACCAACGGUGGCAUUUCCGUCCAAUUUUGGCUGGAUACUCUUCUAUCGCCUUCAGACCGUCCUCGCGAAGAGAACGACAGCGUGGGUCGUCCAGGAGGAUGGAAGGGUUAACGAAAUGUGCCCAACAACCAUUGUCAGCUUAGGAAAACACAUCUGUUGCUCCGAGUCCCAAGAGGAUCUUGGAUGCAAACUUCUCACGAGGCACAAAGUCACAACAUCUUUUUCGACGGCGGCGAGUUGAAAAAGCCUCCCGCAAAC
ensembl:lncRNA